CACUGAUCCGUGUGACAAGAGCUUCUCGCUGCCUGCUGCAACCAUUGCGGGAGGAAUCAUUCAGUCUCGGGCUUUUUCUGAAGGAGAAAACAACAAACCAAAACAAACCCAAGUGGGUGAAACGUGAAGGCUCCAUCUCUUUCAAUCAUGGCUGAGCUGUGUGUUGAGGCAGAUGCCUCUGAAGCAGACCAUGCUGGCAUGUGGUUCAGGCUUGAGUGUCAUUUGGAGGUUUCCACAGAUCUCAGAAUACCUGCAACUGCUCCAAGCUUGGUAUCAUCGGUAAAUUUUUUGAGAGCCCCAAAGAAGAGGAAUUAAUGUCUUCAACACCUCUUUGCAAAUCAUGGCUUGGUUCCAAGGUGACAGGAAAAAUCAUUGUUAAAGCCAAGAUUAGAACUCGAAGCAUUCCGAUUCAAGAGUGUUUACUUAAAUCAACAGGCCACACCAAUCUUUCAUGGUAAUAGGUAGCAUACAGUCUGUGCAGGAGUACUGGGUACCAGCCUAUAUUAAUAUACAAAGAGUAUGACAAAUGUAUUAACAGUGAAAAAUGUUUUAUUUCCUUCUAAAGUUACAGCUACAAUUUAUUGCACAUCAUUACAAGUGAAACAUAUAAAGUGACUACAAUCACUUUCAAAAUAAAACACUGAAAUUAUUGUUUUGGACAUUUUAAUUGAACAUUUUACUCUUGUCACUUAAUUUUUAAAAGAUAGUUUAACAAUAGGUAGUCAGCCACAAUCGGCAUUCUUACUAUUUUUCAAAUGACAUUUCUCCAGUACAAUAAGAACAAUAUUGAAAAUAUACAGACUUUAUUCCUCUUUGAAAUCCCUCUCUCCUCAUUUGUUUUGUGCAUUGAUGACCAACCUUCAGCCUUAUCUCUGAAGAGGUGUACAGCUCUGUUGCACUGAAAAACUGCAUGGAAACCUGCCAGAAGCUAGAAAUCCAACUUUAAUUUGCAUAAGUCACUUCCAUAUUUUAUAUGAAAAGCAAUUGUGCACAACUAUAAUAUUUGCUUUUACUUCCUUAACAGUUGAACAGAAGUUGCCUGGUGUUUGAGUUAAUCAACAAUAAAACUAUAUGGCUGAUCAGCUUCAUCUUCAUCCUUUGACUGUGAAGGUGGGAGUGGCUGUAUGUUUAAUUUUAUGAUAAUAUAGGUCAUAUUUAGCUCUUAAGGAGCAAGAUCAGUAUGAAUGCCUUGUACAGUGCCAAUUUAAAGGAAUGGAACAGAAGUUCUCUUGUGAUUUUAUAUAAUUAAAAUUAAACCUACAACAUUUUAGUAUGGAAAGUAGUACCUAUGUUAAGAUUGGCUGUAAGGAAACAGAAUUUUACUUUAACUUAUUUUAUAAUAGUAGUGGUAACUGUUGAACGCUACUUUGUAUCUUAAGACAAUGAACACAGAGCUCAUUCUUAUUCAAUACACAUGUUUCUGCAUGGUUUACAGGACAAUGGAUCAGUUUAAUCUUUGCUAUAGUAACUUAUUCAACUUGCACUUAGAGGGCCACACCAGGGAUGAAUUUUGGCCAAUUUUUUUUUAUUUUCCGUCAGAACAUUCUGCACAAUUCUGCUAUUUUUUAAACAUGUAACUGACAAUGCAUAGCUUUGCUUUUCACAAAAACAGAAAAAAUAUGUUUUUAGAAAGUGUAUUAAAAUUAUGUUUAAACAAACUGUGCACACCUAUUCAAAGAUCUACACAAAAGUUGUUGAAAACUACAUUUAAUUCUGAAUAUUUCUUUUGAUUUUCUUAAAUAUCAGCUAAAAUACUUUUGUUAAGGCAUAACAAAAGUUUUGGAUGAUGCUAUAAGUAAGUGUUGAAAGGGAACUAGUGACAGCAGUGAAUCAAUUAAAAUAUAGUCAAGCAUCGUCAUAUUUUGGUCAAGUGGCCCUAUGUUUGUUAAAUUUGUAAUUUAAAAUAUCUCCUAAACUCAGUUCUUGAAUCCCUGAAGAAUUAUCAUCUCAGGGAAGAGAGUGGAGCAGGAGAAGGCCUAUGUCUACCUGGUGCCACUUUUUAUGGGCAUCAUUGACAUCAACUAGCCAAUCCAGGUGUCCAUAAAUGCCGGGAAGGCCAAUACUAGUCCUCCGAAAAGAUAUGAGGUAAGUUUUUUCUUGAGGCUGUGAAGAAAGAGAAGGGAGGGAAACAAAGAGGGGAUGUGUUCAGACCAAAAAGCCAGAAGAUGAUUUUCACUGAAUGUUUUUAAAAGAUUUGAGAAAGGCAAGCUGAGACUCAAGAUCAGAGAAGAAGAGCCUAAUAGCUGAGACACAAAAUAACAGUUGUUGUUUAGGAGGCUUUUUUAUUUAUUAAUUUUGCCACACUAUGUUAGGGAGGCUUAUAAUGAACUUUUCCAGAAUCUUCUACCAUCAAAGCAAACAGCAGAGAUCCUGGAAAAUUUUGGUAAUUUUCAAAAUGUUCCCCUUCAAAAUACCAUACAAAAUUCAAACAGCUCAUAAAUUACAAUAAGAAUUUGAAAUUAAUCCUCUCAGAGAUUUUUAAAAUAUAGCUGUGAUCCCUUUUAAAAUGAAAAGCCAGGUCCAGCUUUAAGUAUGGUAACACUUCUGCUCCAAAUUGAUAUGAAGUGAAGGGGGAAACUCCCCCAAAUUUGGGGCCUUAUCGUGGAAACUCUUGCUCCCAUACCUAAAGUUCAUUUGCAUGACUUCACUGAGACAACUGAGUAGCAGUACACAUGGUAGUUUUUGCAAGAUCAAGGCCUUGUUUUGUACAACACAAUCAAGGUAAUUUCUACAAGGUCAGAAAGCUGUAAUGAGAGGAAGUGAAAUCCUGGCCAGUUAUAUCUGGAAUCAAUUAAGUGUUUUCUGCAUUUUUCAGAUGCUGCUUGUCGUUCUAUUAAGCGUCAGCUCAACCAAUUCAAGUUACUAGCAAAAUAACAACUGGACAAUACAUAUGACACACUAUCUUUAUUUCAAAAUUGGCUGUAAUACAAAAUAAGGACUGGGAGGAAAACUUGUCAAAAAUUUGAGUUUAAAGUGAACCUGUUUUCCCCCUUAAAUUAUAAACUGCCCAACAAUCUCAUGGACGGGCUGGCAUAAUUUCAGGUUCUACACAACUUGUUUUGGGUGUUGUAUACUUGUAUGAAAAGCAAAUGAAAAGUGAAGAGGUGUUCAAGCUAACAGGUUACCCCGAGUCAACUAUGUUGCUUUGUACUUUCAACCAACAUGUUGGGAUACACGUUUGGAACAAAAUUAAAUCUUACUGGAUUUUUCAUAUUUGAUGACUUCAAGCUGACACAAAGUCUAGCACUAGCCAACUGGAUUCAUUCUGGAGAAUGAGCCCUAUUCAAUGAAAAAUAAACCUUACAGAAUCCUUCCUCCCUACAGCCCUUUUCCCACAAUUUAACAUUAGUAAAGUUAAACAAGCCUUGUGUAAAAAGAUACCAUAUUGUAAGUCAGAUUCAGGGACAUAGAAUAAGAUUUUAGUUAAAUUCACAGGAAAAAUGGAUUAAUUAGUAUCGGAAGCUAGAACCAGUAAAAAAAAAAAAAA